ACCAAAAAAAUGAUUAAAACAGAAGAAAGUUAAUGUUUUGGAAUGGCGAAGUCAAUGUCCUGAACUUAAUCCUAUAGAAGUGUUGUGGAAGGACCUGAAGUGGGCAGUUCAUGUGAGGAAGCCCACCAACAUCCUUGAGUUGAAGCUGUUCUGUAAAGCGGAAUGGGUUAAAAUUCCUCCAAGCCAUGUGCAGGACUGAUCAACGGUUAUUGGAAAUGUUUAGUUGCUGUUAUUGCUGCCCACGGGGGGCACACCAGUUACUGAAAGCAGAGGUUUGCAUACUUUUUCCGCACAAAAAUAUGUAGCCUUGGAUCCUUUCCCUCAAUAAAUAGAUGGACAAGUAUAAUGUUUUUGACUCAUUUGUUUAUAGGUUUAUGGGUUCUCUUUAUCUAGUUUUAGGAGUUGUAUGGAAAACAGGUCACAUUUUAGGUCAUAUUUAUGCAGAAAUAUUAAGAAUUCAAAAGGGUUCACAAACAUUUAAGUACAGCUGUAAAUCCAGAUACAUUACAAAGUAAAAGCCAUUUGUUAUCUGGCUGCAAAUUAUGUUUCUACUUCUAGCAUGUAGCUAAUCUAAAGAAAAACACCUCACAUUUUGCUCAGCACAGAGUUUGAUACUGUGAAGUUAAAAGAUCAAAACCCUGAUCUGGAUUAGGAAAAAAUGGGUGGGUGGGGUGAGAUAAUCCUUUCCUCCCAAUAAAAAUCAUCCUCUCUUGCAGGUAUUUCCCAUAGAAAGGAAGUUGCCAUUAGUGCCUAUAGCAGUGUCUUUUGGGAGAUACAUGAGGGUUUGGAGAGGGGGUGCUGAGAUCACAGUAAACUUCAUGGAAGUAUUCUUGAUUGCCAUUCCCCAUGGUUGUUCUAGGAGGUAAGCACACAGUAGCAAGCUUUGCAUUUAAUUAAAUGUUAGUUUUUGUCAAAAUUGUAUUCCUUGGAAAAACAAGCUUUUGCCAACUCCCAAACCAAACAUUUUGGACCAAUAGUUUGAUAUCAGUUUCCUUUCACAAAAAAUAGGCUAAGGCAAUGCACCUUCUAAUGUGACGGGGUAUUGGGAAAUCAAUCAGAUCUUGUAGAUAUGGCAAGUUCACAGACUGUACAUUUGGCUAACUUCUGUUCACCAUCUCCUCCCGAACUUGUCAAGUGAGAAAAGCCAUGUGAAAACUGAGGAAUCAGCAAACUAUGUGAAAAUCUGGGAAAUCUGCAGACUUCAUUCAGGUUCCCAAAUCCUAUGCCUGAAUCCACCAAACAUCCUGGCCAGAGGCCACCUACCUGAUCCCAGAAGUGGAGAUUCCAGGCUGAGGCUUGGAAGGGUGGCCGCAUGGCUGAAUGAUCGUGAAGAGCCACUGAUGCUGGAGCUGACCAGGGACCCCCCGAAGAAAGGCAAAGAGGAGGUAGCUGUAGUCCCAACCAGUUGGGACUUCUACCUCUUCCCCACCAAGAGAUGGCAUGCGCUUGUGGCUGCUACCACUGCUGACUCCACCACUCCCACUUGGGGUGCCACCAAUAGAGUUGGAGGCCUUGUAGUCCACAGGAGAAACAUCCCGUCCCCUCUGCUGACUCACGGCCGAGGUGGAGAAACGCAUGAUGGAGCCAAAACCUGAAAAGAUCACCUUCUGCUCAAAGACAUCACCUUUUUGCCCUUCAUACAGGGGAGAGCAGUGGGCGGAAGACGAGGAUGAGGAGAUGGGCUUGUGGUAUUUCUCUUCCUCAGGCUGCUGCUGCUCAAGCUUUGGAAAAGUUACAAAGUCCUGGGAGAAGGGCAAGGAGCUGCAUGAGGUACCUGAAAGGGGAUCAAGCAAAACCCUGAAACCUACAGCAAGUCGAGAGGAGGUGUUAUAGCUGCAGUUGUCACAUCUCUCUCAGCUUGUCUUUUAUAAAGUAAAACACUGCAAACAGCUCCCUGUCUACUCCUCACAAUUAAAAGCUACAAUUAAAUGACUGGAACUACCUAAUUCCUCAUCCCAUUACCUAACUAAAAAUUAGCUUUUGUGGAGUAAUUGCAUGCAUUUGCAUUCAUGGGCCUUGUUACCCUUAUCUCCAUUAUGUAUAAUAAGUAAACUCAAUCUUGAAGUGAUCUAAUAAUAUAUUUGGGUCAUAUUUUACUACUGUGUGGCAGAUACACAUAGUCCUCAUUUAGUGACCAUUUGCAGUUACAAGAGUUAUGAAAAAAUAGCUUUACAGCCAAUCCUUGCAUUUAUCCUUGCAGGUCUGUAAAGCAAAGGAAAGAUGAACUAAGAUUGUAAGCACAGUCAUGGUUUCAUUUAGCGACCACUUCGCUUAACGACUGAGUUGCCGGUCCCAAUUGUGGUCCCUAAACAAGGACUACCUGGAGUAGAGAUGGCAAAUGUUUGGAAUUAGUGAGGUAUAUUAUGUUAGAUGUUGGUCUUACUAUACCAUUUUUAUGGUAUCAAGCUGAGUGUACUGUGCCAAUUAAAUGUUAACUUAUUCUUCCUAUACCGUGUGGAGGAAUAAUUGGACUUUAAGUGUAUAUUAUAUUUUCUGUUGCAUAUUACUGUAUAUGAUAUAUUGUAAUCUGUAUUGUAUAAAGCACUUAGUUAUUGGUAUGAAAUAAAGUUGCUAUUAUUGCUAA